UCUUGGUCAUUUAGAGGAAGUAAAAGUCGUAACAAGGUCUCCGUAGGUGAACCUGCGGAGGGAUCAUUACACAAAUAUGAAGGCGGGCUGGAACCUCUCGGGGUUACAGCCUUGCUGAAUUAUUCACCCUUGUCUUUUGCGUACUUCUUGUUUCCUUGGUGGGUUCGCCCACCACUAGGACAAACAUAAACCUUUUGUAAUUGCAAUCAGCGUCAGUAACAAAUUAAUAAUUACAACUUUCAACAACGGAUCUCUUGGUUCUGGCAUCGAUGAAGAACGCAGCGAAAUGCGAUAAGUAGUGUGAAUUGCAGAAUUCAGUGAAUCAUCGAAUCUUUGAACGCACAUUGCGCCCUUUGGUAUUCCAAAGGGCAUGCCUGUUCGAGCGUCAUUUGUACCCUCAAGCUUUGCUUGGUGUUGGGCGUCUUGUCUCUAGCUUUGCUGGAGACUCGCCUUAAAGUAAUUGGCAGCCGGCCUACUGGUUUCGGAGCGCAGCACAAGUCGCACUCUCUAUCAGCAAAGGUCUAGCAUCCAUUAAGCCUUUUUUUCAACUUUUGACCUCGGAUCAGGUAGGGAUA
rnacentral:rRNA from 1 species